AAUUGCCUGAUCUUCGAGAAGACGUAAAGAUGACAGCGACACUGUUAAAUAACACAGAGAAGCCUAGAGUAGUGAUAUCGCUUUCCUUGGUGCUUCUUUGAGAUCCGUGUUUUUAUGCCGAGAAAUUGGUUACUGCAGAAAAACCUAAGGUGAAACAGCUGUGCUAUCUGCUCACAUUCCUGCAUGUUUCCUGGUAAAUGAAGGUACAGCGAGGAGGUACAACUGAGGUACAACUGAGGUACAGCAAGGAGGAACUGAAGAGGAAAUCCUCUUUCAUACCUGAA